UACGGAGGAUGCGAGCGUUAUCCGGAUUUAUUGGGUUUAAAGGGUGCGUAGGCGGACGCUUAAGUCAGCGGUAAAAUUGCGGGGCUCAACCUCGUCGAGCCGUUGAAACUGGGUGCCUUGAGUGGGCGAGAAGUGCGCGGAAUGCGUGGUGUAGCGGUGAAAUGCAUAGAUAUCACGCAGAACUCCGAUUGCGAAGGCAGCGUACCGGCGCCCAACUGACGCUGAAGCACGAAGGCGUGGGUAUCGAACAGG
rnacentral:rRNA from 1 species